rnacentral:tRNA from 1 species
GCGGGUAUGGCGGAAAUGGCAGACGCGUCGGACUUAGGAUCCGAUGGGCGACCGUGUGGGUUCAACUCCCACUACCCGCACCA